UACGAAGGGAGCUAGCGUUGCUCGGAAUCACUGGGCGUAAAGCGCACGUAGGCGGAUUGCUAAGUCAGGGGUGAAAUCCUGGAGCUCAACUCCAGAACUGCCUUUGAUACUGGCGACCUUGAGUCCGGGAGAGGUGAGCGGAACUGCGAGUGUAGAGGUGAAAUUCGUAGAUAUUCGCAAGAACACCAGUGGCGAAGGCGGCUCACUGGCCCGGUACUGACGCUGAGGUGCGAAAGCGUGGGGAGCAAACAGG
rnacentral:rRNA from 1 species